UCGGAUAUGGUGUAAUGGCUAACAUUACCGCCUCUCAUGCAUUCGAUGGAUUGUUUGAUGCAGUGCGCGGUAGCUCGGGGUUCGAUUCCCCGUAUCCGAA